UGGGGGAUAUUGCACAAUGGGCGAAAGCCUGAUGCAGCGACGCCGCGUGGGGGAUGAAGGCCUUCGGGUUGUAAACUUCUUUUGCUCUGAACAAGGCAUGCUUUUGGGGUGUGUUGAGUGUAGGGGUUGAUUAGCGCCGGCUAACUACGUGCCAGCAGCCGCGGUAAUACGUAGGGCGCGAGCGUUGUCCGGAAUUAUUGGGCGUAAAGGGCUUGUAGGUGGCUGGUUGCGUCUGUCGUGAAAGCUCAUGGCUUAACUGUGGGUUUGCGGUGGGUACGGGCUGGCUUGAGUACAGUAGGGGAGGCUGGAAUUCCUGGUGUAGCGGUGGAAUGCGCAGAUAUCAGGAGGAAUACCGGUGGCGAAGGCGGGUCUCUGGGCUGUUACUGACGCUGAGGAGCGAAAGCGUGGGGAGCGAACAGG
rnacentral:rRNA from 1 species